rnacentral:rRNA from 1 species
GACGAACGCUGGCGGCAUGCCUAACACAUGCAAGUCGAACGGAACUCAUUGGAUCGAGACUUCGGUCAAGUGAAUCUGAGUUUAGUGGCGGACGGGUGAGUAACGCGUGAGGAACCUGCCUUUCAGGAGGGGGACAACAGUUGGAAACGACUGCUAAUACCGCAUAAUGUAUACGGACCGCAUGAUCUGUAUACCAAAGAUUUAUCGCUGAAAGAUGGCCUCGCGUCUGAUUAGCUAGUUGGUAGGGUAACGGCCUACCAAGGCGACGAUCAGUAGCCGGACUGAGAGGUUGAACGGCCACAUUGGGACUGAGAUACGGCCCAGACUCCUACGGGAGGCAGCAGUGGGGAAUAUUGGGCAAUGGGGGCAACCCUGACCCAGCAAUGCCGCGUGAAGGAAGAAGGCUUUCGGGUUGUAAACUUCUUUAUCAGGGAAGAGCAGAAGACUGUACCUGAUGAAUAAGCCACGGCUAACUACGUGCCAGCAGCCGACGG